rnacentral:lncRNA from 1 species
GUAAAUUUUUUGGCGCCAUUUUAGGAAGUUAUUUUUACUGAUAAAUUAUGCAGUUUUUUCCACUUCCACAUCUUACACCACAAAGUUAUUUUUACUGAUAAAUUAUGCAGUUUUUUCCACUUCCACAUCUUACACCACAAAAAUUACAAAUAUGCCGAAAAAUAAUCGACCAAUUUCUAUACCAAUAGAUGCCCAACAAAUUUUCCUAUCUCAAUUUUUCAGAAACCAACAUCAUCAUAACUCUAAACAACUAGAACUUCAGUUUUCAAAUCGGAUUAUAUCAAGAAACCUUCUUUU